rnacentral:rRNA from 1 species
GUCCAUGCCUUAAACGAUGAAUACUAGACGUUGGGGUCAAACUCAGUGUCGCAGCUAACGCAUUAAGUAUUCCACCUGGGGAGUACGAUCGCAAGGUUGAAACUCAAAGGAAUUGACGGGGGCCCCGCACAAGCAGUGGAGCAUGUGGUUCAAUUCGAUGCAACGCGAAGAACCUUACCUGGGCUUGACAUGUAAGCUAAGGCGAAUGAAAGUUCGCGUCCCGCAAGGGGAGCUUACACAGGUGCUGCAUGGCUGUCGU